GUAGCUGAGCAAGUUUGAAUGUUUCUGUGUGAAGUUCUCUGAGCCCUGCUGCUGGAUGUUGAGAGGCGUGCCUAUUUUAGUUGCGACAUGAAACCAAAAUUCCAGGAUUCUCAAAAUGUCACUACAAACAAGAAUUGGAUACAAGCUACUAAAAAGAAAAAUGUUUCUGGGACAAGCUGGAUUGACUCAGGUUACCUUGCUUCCAGUCUCCUGUUCCCAGAGCAAUGACCUUCCUUUUCUCUUGAUUAAAUGUUUUAAAUCCUUAAGUUAAAGGAAUAAAUCAUAACAUUGUUUUAAAAUUA